AGAGUUUGAUCCUGGCUCAGGACGAACGCUGGCGGCGCGCCUAACACAUGCAAGUCGAACGAGAGAGAGGGAGCUUGCUUCCUUGAUCGAGUGGCGAACGGGUGAGUAACGCGUGAGGAACCUGCCUCAAAGAGGGGGACAACAGUUGGAAACGACUGCUAAUACCGCAUAAGCCCACGACCCGGCAUCGGGAAGAGGGAAAAGGAGCAAUCCGCUUUGAGAUGGCCUCGCGUCCGAUUAGCUAGUUGGUGAGGUAACGGCCCACCAAGGCGACGAUCGGUAGCCGGACUGAGAGGUUGAACGGCCACAUUGGGACUGAUACACGGCCCAGACUCCUACGGGAGGCAGCAGUGGGGAAUAUUGCACAAUGGGGGAAACCCUGAUGCAGCGACGCCGCGUGGAGGAAGAAGGUCUUCGGAUUGUAAACUCCUGUUGUUGAGGAAGAUAAUGACGGUACUCAACAAGGAAGUGACGGCUAACUACGUGCCAGCAGCCGCGGUAAAACGUAGGUCACAAGCGUUGUCCGGAAUUACUGGGUGUAAAGGGAGCGCAGGCGGGCGAUCAAGUUGGAAGUGAAAUCCAUGGGCUCAACCCAUGAACUGCUUUCAAAACUGGUCGUCUUGAGUAGUGCAGAGGUAGGCGGAAUUCCCGGUGUAGCGGUGGAAUGCGUAGAUAUCGGGAGGAACACCAGUGGCGAAGGCGGCCUACUGGGCACCAACUGACGCUGAGGCUCGAAAGUGUGGGUAGCAAACAGGAUUAGAUACCCUGGUAGUCCACACCGUAAACGAUGAUUACUAGGUGUUGGGAGAUUGACCCUCUCAGUGCCGCAGUUAACACAAUAAGUAAUCCACCUGGGGAGUACGACCGCAAGGUUGAAACUCAAAGGAAUUGACGGGGGCCCGCACAAGCAGUGGAGUAUGUGGUUUAAUUCGACGCAACGCGAAGAACCUUACCAAGUCUUGACAUCCCUUGACGAUGCUGGAAACAGUAUUUCUCUUCGGAGCAAGGAGACAGGUGGUGCAUGGUUGUCGUCAGCUCGUGUCGUGAGAUGUUGGGUUAAGUCCCGCAACGAGCGCAACCCCUAUCCUUAGUAGCCAGCAGUAAGAUGGGAACUCUAGGGAGACUGCCGGGGAUAACCCGGAGGAAGGUGGGGACGACGUCAAAUCAUCAUGCCCCUUAUGGGCUGGGCUACACACGUGCUACAAUGGUGCUAACAGAGUGAGGCAAGACUGUGAAGUUAAGCAAAUCACAAAAAUGGCAUCUCAGUUCGGAUUGUAGUCUGCAACUCGACUACAUGAAGCUGGAAUCGCUAGUAAUCGCAGAUCAGAAUGCUGCGGUGAAUACGUUCCCGGGUCUUGUACACACCGCCCGUCACACCAUGGGAGUUGGGAAUGCCCGAAGCCGGUGACCUAACCGUAAGGAAGGAGCCGUCGAAGGCAGGCUCGAUAACUGGGGUGAAGUCGUAACAAGGUA
rnacentral:rRNA from 1 species